rnacentral:misc_RNA from 1 species
GAAAUGCGAUAAGUAAUGUGAAUUGCAGAAUUCAGUGAAUCAUCGAAUCUUUGAACGCACCUUGUGCUCCUUGGUAUUCCUUGGAGCAUGCCUGUUUGAGUAUCAUGAAAUCUUCAAAGUAAAUCUUUUGUUAACUCAAUUGGUUUCUACUUUGGUAUUGGAGGUCUUUGCAGCUUCACACCUGCUCCUCUUUGUUCAUUAGCUGGAUCUCAGUGUUAUGCUUGGUUCCACUCGGCGUGAUAAGUUAUCUAUCGCUGAGGACACUGUAAAAGGUGGCCAAGGUAAAUGCAGAUGAACCGCUUCUAAUAGUCCAUUGACUUGGACAAUACUUUUAUGAUCUGAUAUCAAAUCAGGUAGGACUACCCGCUGAACUUGAGC